CCCUCCUCAGCCUCGUCUCAGCGGGCUGCCUUCUCCCACCCGCGAGCUCCUCACGAGUGGGAGAUCCCUGCAGGUGCAGGUGGAGGUGGUGGUGGAGGAGGAUGAGGAGGAGGAGUUUAGGGUGAUGCCAGGAGCGCCAAGUCACCUCCUGCUCCACCCCGUGUCCCCACCAGGAUGAACAGGAAGGGGCUCAGGACGGAACCUCGCUCCGGAUUUCACUUGAAAGCCCCCCGACACCCCAUAGCCGCUUCACACGUGCACUCUCCCUCGUUCACGCUGAUCCUGGAUCAGCCGGACGUACACCUCAGGGAUUCCUCUUCUUCUCAUGCACCACCAGCUGAGUGGACUUGCUGAAGACCGGUACCAGCAGUGUCAAGAUCGGCCUCCAAGCUAAGUUCUUUAGUUCGUAUUUGUUAUACAUUUGCUAUAAUUUUACAACAUAUACUCCCUUCUUAAGUUAAAAUGUUACUGUUUGCGUGGGUUUGUGUAAACAUGUUUGUUAUUUAACGUAUUGUCUUUAGUCUAACACUUAACGGUUGUAUGUGUUAAGAUCCUACCUUUUUUACGAUUUUUUUAUUUUUUUAAAGAUCCUAAUUUUUUUUUAGUUUUUGUAUUUUAAAAAGUUCGUUUUGAACGGAUUUUUGUAUGAUUUUAUGACUCAGUUUUUAACGGGGUAUUUUUUUCAUCCGUUUUAAUUGGCAGAAUAAGUAAAUAUUCCGAUCACGAUCAUCGGCCUCAUAUGAAAUGCCCCCGCCAGGUGGCGGCAUCGCCCCACGGUGAAUUGUGCCAAGACGCUCGCCCGAGUGGCCGUGGCCACGAAACUGACAAGCAAGCAACAUCCAUCCCAUCCAUUAUUCAGCUCUCAUGAAAUAUUCACCCGCAACACGAGUCGAACCGCGAACUCAGAGGAGUCCCGUGCCAAAUUUGAGGGAUUGCAUCCGUGACGGCCACAUCCAGAGGGAUUGCUGGAUCCAUGACACGGGUGACAGAGGCGCCACGCUGGGAGACAAAUGCGUCCGGGCGUGGUGCUCCCUCGUGUGCCGUGCCGACCUUCAUAGGUGCUUGCAAACAGAACUUGCCCCAACAGUCUGAGGAGCGACGCUCGAAAACGCCGGGCGGGCGAAGACGCAGCGAGGUGGCACCGGCGGCGCAUCUGCCAA